AUGCACGCUGGCGGCGUGCCUAAUCCAUGCCAGUCGAGCGAACAGACGAGGAGCUUGCUCCUCUGACGUUAGCGGCGGACGGGUGAGUAACACGUGGAUAACCUACCUAUAAGACUGGGAUAACUUCGGGAAACCGGAGCUAAUACCGGAUAAUAUAUUGAACCGCAUGGUUCAAUAGUGAAAGACGGUUUUGCUGUCACUUAUAGAUGGAUCCGCGCCGCAUUAGCUAGUUGGUAAGGUAACGGCUUACCAAGGCAACGAUGCGUAGCCGACCUGAGAGGGUGAUCGGCCACACUGGAACUGAGACACGGUCCAGACUCCUACGGGAGGCAGCAGUAGGGAAUCUUCCGCAAUGGGCGAAAGCCUGACGGAGCAACGCCGCGUGAGUGAUGAAGGUCUUCGGAUCGUAAAACUCUGUUAUUAGGGAAGAACAAAUGAGUAAGUAACUAUGCACGUCUUGACGGUACCUAAUCAGAAAGCCACGGCUAACUACGUG
rnacentral:rRNA from 1 species